rnacentral:rRNA from 1 species
CACGUAGGGUGCGAGCGUUGUCCGGAAUCAUUGGGCGUAAAGAGCGCGUAGGCGGCCUGGUAAGUCCGCUGUGAAAGUCCAGGGCUCAACCCUGGAAUGCCGGUGGAAACUGUCAGGCUCGAGUCCGGAAGAGGCGAGUGGAAUUCCUGGUGUAGCGGUGAAAUGCGCAGAUAUCAGGAGGAACACCAAUGGCGAAGGCAGCUCGCUGGGACGGUACUGACGCUGAGACGCGAAAGCGUGGGGAGCAAACAGG